rnacentral:misc_RNA from 1 species
CUUGGUCAUUACCUCUGGAUCUGGGACAGCAACCGAAUAGUGUAUGCCGCGGAUGGCCGGGCUGCUCGCGUAAUCGGGUGCGUCGUCAGCAUCGAAGAACAAAAACGGGCCAAUCAGGCGCUACGCAAAGCCCAAGAAGAGUUAGCGCGCGUGAACCUCGACUUGGAGCGCAAGGUCGAGGAGCGCACGGCGAAAUUGCAGGAAACCGUCGCCGAACUCGAAAGCUGGUCUUACAGCAUCGCCCACGAUAUGCGCGCGCCUCUUCGGACGAUGCACGGCUACAGCAAACUCCUGGCCGAAGAACACGGACCGAAACUCGAACCCGCGGCGCGUUAUUACCUCCAAC